CCCUUAGAUGUCCUGGGCUGCACGCGCGCUACACUGAUGCAUCCAACAAGUAUUCCUGUCCUGAAAAGGUUGGGUAAUCUCUAAAAAUGCAUCGUGAUGGGGAUAGAUUAUUGCAAUUAUUAAUCUUCAACGAGGAACUCCUAGUAAGUGCAAGUCAUCAGCUUGCGCUGAUUACGUCCCUGCCUAUUGUACACACCGCCCGUCGCUCCUACCGAUUGGAUGGUCCGGUGAAGCCUCGGGAUUGUGGUUCUUGCCGCUUUAUUGUGGCGUGACCGCGAGAACUUGUCUAAACCUUAUCAUCUAGAGGAAGGUGAAGUCGUAACA
rnacentral:rRNA from 1 species